rnacentral:lncRNA from 1 species
AUGUCCACUUCCGGAGCUGGGUGCCUGGGCCUCGGGCUCCCUGAGAAAGGGUGGACACGCCUACCCCGCCCCAGAGGGGCAGGGGUCCUGACACCUGUCCAGGCCCUAACAGAGUCGUUAAAACAAAGGCUCUGGGUUCAAAUCCCAGCACUUGAUUCUUUCCUUGUUCUGUCCUCAGAGGACGGCAGCUCCCACGCCUCAGCUUUUCCACCUAGUAAAUGGGAAUCAGGGCCCCUCAGAGAUGCCUCACAAAGAAAGACAGUUCCAGCCCCCUGCAGGCAUCCCAUCCGCUCAAGGGCACCAGCCUCCUCUGUCUCUGCUGCGGCCGGCAGGGGGCAGCGCCCACCGCGGCACGGCCUGUCAGGCAGCGUGGACCCGGGUGGUCAUCCCCAGGCCCCCAGCCCCGCGGUGACGACAGGCGUCAGAUUCCAUCCCUUCCUCCGCACUCGAGUCCUUGUCUGUCCCUCAUCCCCCUUCCUUCCCAUGCAUCCUGCCUGCAGCAGCCAGGUGACAGCUUCUAGGAAUAGGCAAUAUAGCCCCAAAUCUCCAGCCAAGGACACCGAAGGCUGGACAGGAGAAAAGACUAGUCCAAGUCCCCACGACGGUCACCCUCAGCCCUGCACCACAGCUGCUUCUGGGACCAGUUCCACGCAGGCCUCCGCUCCCUGUCAGCCCUUCCCCAGCCCUCCAGGCCCAUGUGUGGCCCAAACCCUGUACCGGAUCUCUCAGCCCUCUUCCACGGAUCACACACUCAGCAGAUCUCUCAGCCCUCUUCCACGGAUCACACACUCAGCAGAUCUCUCAGCCCUCUUCCACGGAUCACACACUCAGCAGAUCUCUCAGCCCUCUUCCACGGAUCACACACUCAGCAGAUCUCUCAGCCCUCUUCCACGGAUCACACACUCAGCAGAUCUCUCAGCCCUCUUCCACGGAUCACACACUCAGCAGAUCUCUCAGCCCUCUUCCACGGAUCACACACUCAGGCCCGCCCGGGAUGGGGGAACUGGAAAUGUAAAGGCAACAAGCCCCUUCGCACCUCCCAGCCCCAGGUGCCCCCGUGUUCAAGGGAGCCGACGGCUCAGACCAGGAGCUGUGCUCGCCGCCUACCCAGCCCAUUCCGGGCCAGCUGCCAAGGUUGGCGCAGGCCUGCCAGGCCCCCCCACCCCGUCUGCAGGACAGGCCCCCCAGAAUGGAACAGGAAGGGGUGGCCUCUUGCUAGGCUCCAGGGAACCCCAAAGCCCAGGCCCCCUGGCCCAUAAACAUUUACUAGGUUGUGGACGGCUGAUGUCACUCCUGCCCCACAUGCAAGAGGGCCCCCGUCUAGAACAUCUGCCCCAGCGGGCUCCCUGGGGGGGCUGUGGGGGACCCUUCCGGAGUUCACCCUGA